AUGAGUAUUCACAUACCUGCUGCGCCUUGGUCCAUUUUUACAGAAGACAGCCGUUACAGAACUACCCACCACCAAAGGACCAAGCAGCAGAAGAGGAGGAAGCCACAGGAGAGAAAAAGGGAACAAUGGACAUGGGAGGACGUCCUGGACGGCAAGGGAGCCUACACCUGGGAAGAGAUCCUGGCCGGAAGGGAUCGCCUCCCAUGGGAACAGGUGGAGGCACUCAGGAGAGUGGAGGCAGCUGGACAGAGGAACCAUCGGGAAAGUUACGCUGGAACACGGUUGGCUAGGAAACCCGAGAGGCAGCCCCAAGAUUUUUUUUGGGGGGGGCACACGGGUAGCUUGGCCAGGCCAGGGAAGAGCCGUAAGCCAGCUACCCGUGACUACAGGGAGGUGCGUACGAGGUGGAGGGCGCCAUGUUACGCUGAGGUGCGCACCAUCUCGCCUAUACGGACGCACAGCCCAGUGCGCCCAGUACCAGCGCCCCGCAGGUGCCAGGGCAAGGGGAGCAUCGAGCCGGAAGGGGUGAUGCCAACCCUGCACUCAAGACCGCCAAUGCGCCCUUUCGGUCCGGUGUUUCCCGCUAGACACACUAGCAUGGAGGUGCGUGUCUCCAGGCUGGUACGUCCAAUACCUGCCCCACGCAUCAGGAGUCAACAGUCGUCAUCAGAGCUGCCCGCCAGUCAACAGUCACCAGAGCUGCCCGCCAGUCAACAGUCACCAGAGUUGCCCGCCAGUCAACAGUCGUCGGAGCUGCCCGCCAGUCAACAGUCGUCGGAGCUGCCCGCCAGUCAACAGUCGUCGGAGCUGCCCGCCAGUCAACAGUCGUCGGAGCUGCCCGCCAGUCAACAGUCGUCGGAGCUGCCCGCCAGUCAACAGUCGUCGGAGCUGCCCGCCAGUCAACAGUCGUCGGAGCUGCCCGCCAGUCAACAGUCGCCGGAGUGGCCGGACUGCGCUGAACUGCCGGAGUGGUCGGACUGCGCUGAACUGCCGGAGUGGCCGGACUGGGCUGAACUGCCGGAGUGGCCGGACUGCCCUGAACUGCCGGAGUGGCCGGACUGCCCUGAACUGCCGGAGUGGCCGGACUGCCCUGAACUGCCGGAGUGGCCGGACUGCCCUGAACUGCCGGAGUGGCCGGACUGCCCUGAACUGCCGGAGUUGCCGGACUGCCCUGAACUGCCGGAGUGGCCGGACUGCCCUGAACUGCCGGAGUGGCCGGACUGCCCUGAACUGCCGGAGUGGCCGGACUGCCCUGAACUGCCGGAGUGGCCGGACUGCCCUGAACUGCCGGAGUGGCCGGACUGCCCUGAACUGCCGGAGUGGCCGGACUGCCCUGAACUGCCGGAGUGGCCGGACUGCCCUGAACUGCCGGAGUGGCCGGACUGCCCUGAACUGCCAGAGUGGCCAGACUGCCCGGUUCUGCCAGAGGUGCCCGGCCUGUCAGGAUCAGCCCGAGGGGUCCUCCUGCCCUUCGGUCCAGCCCGAGUGGUCCUCCUGCCCUCCGGUCCAGCCCGAGUGGUCCUCCUGCCUUCCGGUCCAGCCCGAGUGGCCCGCAUGCCUUCCGGCCCAGCCCGAGUGGCCCGCAUGCCUUCCGGCCCAGCCCGAGUGGCCCGCAUGCCUUCCGGCCCAGCCCGAGUGGCCCGCAUGCCUUCCGGCCCAGCCCGAGUGGCCCGCAUGCCUUCCGGCCCAGCCCGAGUGGCCCGCAUGCCUUCCGGCCCAGCCCGAGUGGCCCGCAUGCCUCCGGCCCAGCNNNNNNNNNNNNNNNNNNNNNNNNNNNNNNNNNNNNNNNNNNNNNNNNNNNNNNNNNNNNNNNNNNNNNNNNNNNNNNNNNNNNNNNNNNNNNNNNNNNNGAGAGAGAGAGGAGGGGCGAGGGGGCCGGAGAGAGAGAGAGAGAGGAGAGGCGAGGGGGCCGGAGAGAGAGAGAGAGAGGAGAGGCGAAGGGGCCGGAGAGAGAGAGAGAGAGAGAGAGAGGAGAGGGGGCCGGAGAGAGAGAGAGAGCGAGAGGAGAGGGGGCCGGAGAGAGAGAGCGAGAGGAGAGGGGGCCGGAGAGAGAGAGCGAGAGAGAGAGGAGAGGCGAGGGGGCCGGAGAGAGAGAGAGAGAGGAGAGGCGAGGGGUCCGGAGAGAGAGAGAGGAGAGGCGAGGGGGUCGGAGAGAGGCGAGGGGGCCGGAGAGAGAGAGAGACGAUGACAUUUGAGCUGUCUAUUAUUUUAGACAUUUUUUUGUUUAAUGUUUACUGUACAUUUUUACUGUUUAUUAUCUACUGUUAA
rnacentral:lncRNA from 8 species